AAGGGCGCAGGCUGAUGACGCACCAGCGCGCACGGUGAGCGGAGCGGCAUGGCGUCGGUGGCGCUGAGCGAGGCUGAGAAGGUCUACAUCGUUCAUGGAGUGCAGGAAGACCUCCGGGUGGAUGGCCGUGGCUGUGAGGACUACCGCUGUGUGGAAGUGGAGACGGACGUCGUGUCCAACACCAGUGGGUCUGCCAGAGUCAAGCUGGGUCAUACAGACAUCUUGGUGGGAGUGAAAGCAGAAAUGGGGACACCGAAGCUGGAGAAGCCAAAUGAAGGCUACCUGGAAUUCUUUGUUGACUGUUCAGCCAAUGCUACCCCAGAAUUUGAAGGGCGAGGAGGUGACGACCUUGGCACCGAGAUCGCUAACACCCUGUACCGGAUCUUCAACAACAAGAGCAGCAUGGACCUGAGGUCCCUCUGCAUCAGUCCUCGGGAGCACUGCUGGGUCCUCUAUGUGGAUGUGCUGCUCCUGGAAUGUGGUGGGAAUUUGUUUGAUGCUAUUUCCAUUGCUGUGAAGGCUGCUCUCUUCAAUACAAGGAUACCAAGGGUUCGCGUUCUGGAGGAUGAAGAGGGGGCAAAGGACAUUGAACUGUCUGACGAUCCUUAUGACUGCAUCCGACUGAGUGUAGAGAAUGUCCCCUGUAUCGUCACCCUGUGCAAGAUUGGCUGCCGACAUGUGGUAGAUGCCACACUUCAAGAGGAAGCCUGCUCCUUGGCCAGUUUGCUAGUGUCAGUGACCAGCAAGGGAGUCGUGACAUGCAUGAGGAAAGUGGGCAAGGGAAGCCUGGAUCCUGAGAGCAUCUUUGAAAUGAUGGAGAGCAGCAAGCGAGUGGGCAAGGUGCUGCACAUGUCCUUGCAGAGCGUUCUGCACAAGGAAGAAAGCCUGGGGCCCGAGAGGCCGAAGGUCGGGUUCCUGGGAUGAGUUGUUGCCACCCUGGCGGGCUCGGGUUAUUUCACUUUUGCAUUGAGACUGGUCAGGAAUAAGGAAGCCAUGGCCACAGAGGAGAGCCCAGGCUCCUGCCUGUGUGUCCACCAGGUCCUGCCAGCCAAGAAAUCCAGGAGACCUUCCCUUGGGUCAGGGGCUUCGUGGCCAUUUGGGCCAUUAGCCAGCUUUUCUUACCGUUCUUGGAUUUUUCUUGUUUUUAAGUCAGAGUCUUACAUAGCCAGUGAUCCCUUUGGCUUCCCAGUCUUCCUACUUGGGAAUAGGUUGCAGGCGUGUUCUAGCUUUUCUGCCUUCCUUUGUGUGUUAUGACCCCUCCCAGAUGCUUUGUAAGAUGACCGUGUUUUGUCAGCACUAUAAAAGUUGUUUAAGGAAUGGUGUCAUC